UCAGCUUCUUCUUACAGUCCACAAUGAUGGUGACAGCCUUCUUCUCCACGCUGAUAGCCACACGAUGCCAUCUGUGCAACGAGGGAGCAAAGAGGGAGGAGACUGACCCAGCAUGAGACCAAAGGUCAAGGGAUGCCUUGUGCUAUCUGUUCGCCAACAGCUCUUAAACCGGAGCUGUCUGGCUGAGAGAGCAACCUGAGGUGUAGGGAGACGAG